AAUAAACGCUGGCGGCGUGCAUAACACAUGCAAGUCUAACGGGAAUGUCGGCUUCGGCUGACUAGUACCGUGGCGAACGGGUGAGUAACACGUGGGUAAUCUAACCUCGAGUUUGGGAUAACCUUGCGAAAGCGGGGCUAAUACCGAAUAAGACCACGCCCUGCCCGCAGGGUGCGGUCAAAGGCGGCCUCUUCUUGAAAGCUGUCACUUGAGGAUGAGCCCGCGGCCUAUUAGCUAGUUGGUGGGGUAAUGGCCUACCAAGGCGACGAUGGGUAGCCGGCCUGAGAGGGUGUACGGCCACACUGGCACUGAGAUACGGGCCAGACUCCUACGGGAGGCAGCAGUGGGGGAUCUUGCGCAAUGGGGGAAACCCUGACGCAGCAACGCCGCGUGAGUGAUGAAGGCCUUCGGGUCGUAAAGCUCUUUUAGUGGGGAAGAAUCCCACCCGGGCUAAUACCUCGGGUGUCUGACGGUACCCACAGAAAAAGUUCCGGCUAACUACGUGCCAGCAGCCGCCGUAACAC
rnacentral:rRNA from 1 species